GAUGAACGCUAGCUACAGGCUUAACACAUGCAAGUCGAGGGGCAGCAUGAACUUAGCUUGCUAAGUUUGAUGGCGACCGGCGCACGGGUGAGUAACACGUAUCCAACCUGCCGAUGACUCGGGGAUAGCCUUUCGAAAGAAAGAUUAAUACCCGAUGGCAUAGUUCUUCCGCAUGGUAGAACUAUUAAAGAAUUUCGGUCAUCGAUGGGGAUGCGUUCCAUUAGGUUGUUGGCGGGGUAACGGCCCACCAAGCCUUCGAUGGAUAGGGGUUCUGAGAGGAAGGUCCCCCACAUUGGAACUGAGACACGGUCCAAACUCCUACGGGAGGCAGCAGUGAGGAAUAUUGGUCAAUGGACGAGAGUCUGAACCAGCCAAGUAGCGUGAAGGAUGACUGCCCUAUGGGUUGUAAACUUCUUUAUAUGGGAAUAAAGUGAGCCACGUGUGGCUUUUUGUAUGUACCAUACGAAUAAGGAUCGGCUAACUCCGUG
rnacentral:rRNA from 1 species